GCAUAAGAAGUCAUGUGAGCUGCGCAGCGGAAGUUCACUCAGAUCCAACAUGGCGGAGCAGCAGAAUUGUCAUCUCUGAAGUAAACAGUCGUUUUAAAACGGUGUUCACGAGGAAACCGUUCCGUGUAUCGUUUGUUGCCGAACCGUAAACCGUCGUUAUGUGUCGCGAAUAACGUCCACGGUAGAAGACGACAUUUAGCAGAAGAAGCAGAAGAAGCGUCACCCAGCAGCGGCGGCCAUGUCUCUGGGCGAGACCGCGGCGGACUCGGCGCCGUUCUUCUCCGACGACAGCGAGGCGGAGGAGGCGGGCGGCGGCGCGGUGGCUCAGCGGACGGCGGAGGAGGAGUCGCCCAGCGGCGUGUCGAAGGCCCGAGCGCUGCUGACCGUCCUCGUCCUCUGUUACAUCAACCUGCUCAACUACAUGGACCGCUUCACCGUGGCAGGCGUUCUCCCCGACAUCGAGCACUAUUUUGGGAUCAAUGAUGAGAAGUCCGGUCUGCUUCAAACGGUUUUCAUCUGCAGUUACAUGUUCUUGGCUCCGGUCUUCGGUUACCUUGGCGACCGGUGCAACAGGAAGUACAUCAUGAGCUUCGGCAUCGCGUUCUGGUCUCUGGUGACCCUCGCCAGCUCCUACACCCCCAAAGAGCACUUCUGGGUUCUGCUGGUGACUCGAGGUCUGGUGGGCAUCGGCGAGGCCAGUUACUCCACCAUCGCUCCCACCAUCAUCGCCGACCUCUACGUGAAGCGCCAGAGGACCAACAUGCUCUCCGUCUUCUACUUCGCCAUCCCCGUCGGCAGCGGUCUCGGGUACAUCGUGGGCUCACAAGUCGGUGCUGCAGCUCAGGACUGGCACUGGGCUCUGAGGGUGACUCCGGGUCUGGGUCUGCUCGCCGUGCUGCUGCUGCUCUUCGUGGUCCAGGAGCCGAAGCGAGGCGGCGUUGAGGACCGCCCGGAGCACCACAUGCAGCGGACCGGCUGGCUGGAGGACGUGCAGGCGCUCAGCAGGAACUACAGCUUCGUGUUGUCCACCUUCGGUUUCACGGCGGUGGCCUUCGUCACCGGCUCUCUGGCUCUUUGGGCGCCGACGUUCCUCUUGAGAGCGGCCGUCUUCACCGGGAAGAGGCCUCCCUGUGUGGAGGGGAACUGCGCCUCCUCUGAAAGUUUGAUUUUCGGCGUGAUCACCUGCGUGACCGGCGUGCUGGGCGUGGCCAGCGGCGUGCAGCUGAGUCGGCAGCUGAAGACGAGGACGGCCAAAGCCGACCCGCUGGUCUGCGCCGCCGGGCUGCUCCUCUCGGCUCCUUUCCUCUACCUCGCCAUCGUCUUCGCUCAGGCCAGCACCACUGCCACUUAUGUCUUCAUCUUCCUCGGGGAGACCUUCCUGUCCAUGAAUUGGGCCAUCGUGGCCGACAUCCUGCUGUACGUCGUCGUUCCGACUCGUCGCGCCACAGCCGAAGCGUUUCAGAUCGUCAUCUCACAUCUACUGGGAGACGCUGGGAGCCCCUACCUCAUCGGAGUGGUGUGUGUGUGUGUGUGUGUGUGUGUGUGUGUGUGUGUGUGUGUGUGUGUGUGUGUGUGUGUGUGUGUGUGUGUGUGUGUGUGUGUGUGUGUGUGUGUGUGUGUGUGUGUGUGUGUGUGUGUGUGUGUGUGUGUGUGUGUGUGUGUGUGUGUGUGUGUGUGUGUGUGUGUGUGUGUGUGUGUGUGUGUGUGUGUGUGUGUGUGUGUGUGUGUGUGUGUGUGUGUGUGUAUACAUGACACUAAAUACAAUCUACACACGUUAUUAUAUGGCUUUAUUAUUUUAGGCAGUACAACAAAGAUCCCCUAAUAAUAAAUACAUUAUUUUUAUUUAAUUUGACGAAACAUAUUUAUUUAUUUUAAAAGGAUAAACUCCUUCAGAUGCACAACAUAAAUAAAUAUUUGUAAUAAAUGAAGAACUUACAGAAGAGCGUCAUCUGCACGCGAUAACAAAUAUAUGAACUUGAUAACUUACUCUUUGAAGAAAUAACCUAAAUAAAUAAUCUGUAUACAAAACAUUAGAAUGAUUACUAUAAUGAAUGAUCCAACGAUGCCGUGAUAAUUGAUGGACGGUACCUGCGUGGUGUGUCUCAGGUGUCGGACUCUCUGAAGCAGACCGAGUCCUUCUUGUGGCAGUUCCGCUCGCUGCAGCUCUCCCUGCUGCUCUGCUCCUUCGUGGCCGUGAUCGGAGGAGGCUUCUUCCUCGCCACCGCCCUCUUCAUCGAGAAGGACCGCCACCGGGCCGAGAACUACGUCGCCUCAGACGACGAGCCCAUCGUGGUCCCAAAGAGCGGUCGGUCCACCCGGGUCCCGGUCUCCAGCGUUCUGAUCUGAUCCGGUUCUGCGUCUCCGGACCUCGUUGAUUGUUUUUAGGACUCUCGGCCACGCAGAAGCUUUCAGGACGUGUUCGGUUUUAAAUUCUUGAAAUUCUACUUUUUUUAUUAUAUAAUUUUACACGGAGACAACUUGAGGGACGUUUUUUUUAGACUCAAAAGGACCCGAUCGCCUCUGAACGGAUCAAUAUCUCCUCCUCUCCGCCUGGCUGGUCUGGGAUCAGCCGGAGGAACCAGUUUCAUAAACGGCUUUAAUAUUCAGAAUCGUGUUUUACGUUUGAAUUAAAACACUAAUAUUCUCACCAGUCGUCCAGCUAAUGGAAGAUGAAGAUCAGAGACUCGUCAUAUUUAUCUUUUUAUCUCCUGCAGUUUCAAAUGUUUUUGCUUCCGUGCUUCACCAAGUCGAGCAGAACGUGAAUCCAUAUUUAAGAGAAACACUUAGAAAUGAACGUUUGUUAACCUCAAAUUACUUAAGCAGAAUAUCUUUUUUUGUGAACUAUUAAAUGGGAAUGAACUUGUCA